CUCUGUAUGGUGGUAGCUGCAGCAUCUGCCAAGCUUGGUAAAUUUCGUUAUUGUAUAGUAUGCUGUAAAUUAUAAAUUAUAAAGAUAGACUCAGGCUCACAAAUCUCACUCCCGCUUCAAUAGACUCUAUUUACGUUUGGGGUAGAACUCAAACAUACAAAAAUUCCCAAAAACAUUCAAAACUCGAGCGUGGGAGUGCUUUUUCAGUUACCUCUCCCCUCUGUCAAGAAAGAAGACAGGCUAUUCAGGCGUUCUAGGAUAAGGAAGACGAGAAAGGUUAGUCUCUGGUCCUAUAAAAUCUUUUAGUUGAAAUAGGGCGUAGCGUGGAGUCUUCUAAUCCCAGUAACACUCACACCACCAGUUAGUUAGGGUUUUUACAGAGAGUGUAAAUGGCGAUUGCACAAGAUUUGUAUCCCUCAGAAGACGACCUUUUGUACGAAGAGGAGUUGCUUCGAAACCCUUUCAGCCUUAAGCUAUGGUGGCGUUACCUAAUUGCGCGUUCGGAAGCUCCGUUCAAGAAGCGCUUCGUGAUUUACGAGCGGGCACUGAAGGCGCUUCCCGGAAGCUACAAGCUGUGGCACGCGUACCUCCGCGAGCGCCUCGACCUCGUUCGCAACCUCCCCGUCACUCACUCUCAAUACGAUACGCUCAAUAAUACCUUCGAGCGUGCAUUAGUCACAAUGCACAAGAUGCCGCGAAUUUGGAUUAUGUAUCUGCAAACCCUAACCAAUCAGAAAUUGGUUACUCGAACUCGCAGGACCUUCGACAGGGCUCUCUGCGCCCUCCCCGUCACCCAGCACGACCGUAUCUGGGAACCUUAUCUUGUGUUCGUGAGCCAGAAGGGCAUUCCAAUUGAGACUUCUCUUCGGGUUUAUCGCAGGUAUUUGAAGUAUGAUCCUUCUCACAUUGAGGAUUUUAUUGAAUUUUUGCUUAAUUCGAGUCUCUGGCAAGAGGCUUCUGAGAGGCUGGCUUCUGUCCUCAAUGAUGACCAGUUUUACUCCAUUAAGGGUAAGACCAAGCACCGGCUUUGGUUGGAGUUAUGUGAUUUGCUCACUCGCCAUGCCAAUGAGGUUUCUGGGUUGAAUGUGGACGCUAUCAUUAGGGGUGGGAUUAGGAAGUUCACUGAUGAGGUGGGUAGGCUUUGGACUUCGCUUGCUGAGUAUUACAUUAGGAGGGGUUUGCAUGAGAAGGCUAGGGAUGUGUUUGAGGAGGGUAUGUCUACUGUUAUCACGGUCAGGGAUUUCAGUGUCAUAUUUGAUUCUUACUCGCAGUUUGAAGAGAGCAUGCUUGCUUACAAGAUGGAGGAGAUGGGGUUGAGUGAUGAAGAAGAUGAUGAGGGUGAGGAAAAUGGCUUUGAGGAAGUUGAAGAAGAGGAUAUUCGUGUCAAAGGAAGAUUGGUGGAGGAGGAUUUUGAGAGGAAGAUUUUGCAUGGGUUUUGGUUGAAUGACAAGAAUGACAUAGACUUGAGGUUAGCUCGGUUUGAUUACCUUAUGGAGAGGAGGCCAGAAUUGGCUAACAGCGUGCUUUUGCGUCAAAAUCCUCAUAAUGUAGAACAGUGGCACAGGAGGGUGAAGCUCUUUGAAGGGAAUCCUACCAAGCAGAUACUGACUUACACUGAAGCGGUGAGGACGAUUGAUCCCAUGAAGGCAGUGGGAAAGCCUCACACUUUGUGGGUUGCGUUUGCUAAACUCUAUGAACAACACAAAGAUCUUGCCAAUGCCCGUGUCAUAUUUGACAAGGCAGUGCAGGUGAACUACAAAACUGUGGAUAACCUGGCUAGUGUCUGGUGUGAGUGGGCUGAAAUGGAGUUAAAGCAUAAAAAUUUCAAAGGAGCACUUGAGCUGAUGAGGCGGGCUACAGCUGAGCCAUCAGUUGAGGUGAAGCGAAAAGUGGCUGCGGAUGGGAAUGAACCAGUCCAGAUGAAGCUCCAUAAAUCCUUGAGAUUGUGGACAUUUUAUGUUGAUUUGGAGGAAAGCCUAGGUUCUUUGGAAUCUACACGUGCUGUUUAUGAGCGAAUUUUGGAUUUACGAAUAGCCACACCGCAAAUAAUAAUCAAUUAUGCAUACUUUUUGGAGGAACAUAAGUACUUCGAAGAUGCUUUUAAAGUUUAUGAAAGAGGAGUAAAGAUCUUUAAGUACCCUCAUGUUAAAGACAUAUGGGUUACUUAUCUCUCUAAAUUUGUGAAGAGAUAUGGAAAGAAUAAAUUGGAGCGAGCAAGAGAAUUAUUUGAAAAUGCAGUUGAAUCGGCUCCAGCUGAUCAAGUGAAGCCACUUUACCUGCAAUAUGCCAAGCUGGAGGAGGACUAUGGUCUAGCUAAGCGAGCUAUGAAGGUUUAUGAUCAAGCAACUAAGGCUGUUCCUAACAAUGAGAAGUUAAGCAUGUACGAGAUAUACAUUUCUCGUGCAGCUGAGAUAUUUGGUGUGCCCAAAACAAGAGAGAUCUAUGAGCAGGCAAUUGAAUCUGGUCUCCCAGAUAAGGAUGUCAAAACCAUGUGUUUGAAGUAUGCUGAGCUGGAAAAAAGCUUGGGAGAAAUUGACCGGGCCCGUGCAGUAUAUGUAUUUGCAUCUCAGUAUGCAGAUCCACGAUCUGAUCCCGAGUUUUGGAAUAAGUGGCAUGAGUUUGAGGUUCAGCAUGGGAAUGAAGAUACUUUCAGAGAAAUGCUUCGUAUUAAGCGAAGCGUCUCUGCCAGCUACAGCCAGACGCAUUUUAUACUGCCCGAGUAUUUAAUGCAGAAGGAUCAAACUGUGAACCUUGACGAAGCCAAAGACAAGUUAAAACAGGCUGGGAUCCCUGAGGACGAAAUGGCAGCUUUAGAAAGGCAAUUAGCACCAGCAGUUGAAAAUACUGUGACAAAUGAUAGAAAAGUUGGGUUUGUGAGUGCUGGAGUGGAAUCUCAAUCUGAUGGAGGGAUAAAAACUAAUGCAAAUCACGAGGAUAUUGAGUUACCAGAAGAAAGUGACUCUGAUGAUGAUGAUAAGAUUGAAAUUGCACAAAAAGAUGUUCCUUCUGCUGUGUUUGGUGGUUUGAUUAGAAAGAGAGACGAGGAUGAAAAGAAUGGAGAGGUUGAUGCUGCAAAAGAUAAGGAUAACGAAAAUCGGCUUGGUGCUCUUGAGAGACUAAAGAGGCUAAAACGAAAUUAAAUACUCGGUCUAGGUCUUCCGGAUAAAAUUUUGGUAGCUGUGAAAUUAGUUUUGGUUUGUAUUAUGUACUAUCAAUCUAUCCAAAGAUAACGCUGAAGAUCCUUUCUGAUGGUGCUAAAUCGGAAAAAACGGGGCCACUAUCUUUCCUGCAAUGUGCAUCAAGUUAUCAGAUCAUAGUGGAGUACAAAACAGGGACUUAACAACCUUCUUCCUACCUAGCUUCAGUGAUCUACUUAGCUUCUGCCAGAUUCUGUGUAUCACGUGUUUACAUAGAUAAUAUAAGUGAUGCAUUAGAGUUUAAAUGAGGAAAUUCUGGCAUGGUAGGAUGUUGUUGAUCUAUGACUGGCUAUCUAGAAAAUAGAAUACUGCAAGCGCAGAUUAUUCCCUCUAUGCGUCGUAUGUGCACAUUCCAUAGCAAUUCAGCUUGAUACGUUGUCUCCAACUUAUUCUUCUUUUUCUCAGUCAAAACAGAUUUGGGCACCUUGAUAGUAUCUAUUGAAUAUAGUUGCUGCAGGUGGAGCUUUACCCUCAGUUCUGCAAAAGCAUAAAAACUCUAGUGGAGAGAGAAAUAUGGGUAGGUAACCAACCACUGCCAUUUCCAACAUUUGUAUCAUUCGAGAGUAUACACACUUAUUUUUCUAGAACCAUGACUACCACCAAAGUUCUAAGACUAUUGUGUAACCAUCCAGAACCUACUAAGGUUCUCGUAGCGUUAUGCGUAAAUGUGAUGCAAUAAUACAAAGAUACAGAAGUAUUUGAAACUCUUCCAAUUCUGUAAACAAAAA